AACAUUUAGUUUGUUUCGGGGUCUCAACCCGUAAACACCACAAAAUUCUCUGUUUUAUUUCGGCUUUUUUAAAUAAUAUUAAAUCAUUUUCGGCUAGAAUUAAGUAGAAAGUUUUUAGGCAUUAGUUUUAGGCAUAAAGUGAAGCUUCCCGCUCCGUUCAUAUGGAAUUACACAAAGCAUUCGGAGUACCGAUUUUUUUUUCAGACAUUUGGCUUACCUUCACAUGGCUGGUCGGAGCUCUCACACUCAGACUAACAAUGGACAGACGCGUACACACCCCAAACCAAGCAUACUCUUGUGAUUGUCUUCUCUCACACAAUAAACAAUGUGCUCUUCCAUCUCAAUUUUUUCGAAUUUGGACUCAAAUUCGAUCAAGGCGGACACACCUGUAAGGAUACCCCUGUAAAGACUCUACACAUAUCCUCACCUCACCUCCUUCGGAACUUUCUCUGCGGAAGAACACAAUGAUGAUUUGAAAAUAGCUGCUUAUACACAUAUACUAAAAGGCAUCUAGGAUACACAAUGGAUACUUCAAGGAUAUUAUCUCUCAUUAUCUCACGGACUCGAGGACUGAUAAGUAAAAAAUAAAUAAAAUGUUAACCAAAAAACA
rnacentral:sRNA from 1 species